rnacentral:rRNA from 1 species
GGGGGGGGGGGGGGGGAGGGCUAGGAGGGGCAAGUCGGAGGGGAGCACAGUAGGAGCUUGCUCUUACGGGUGGCGAGUGGCGGACUGGUGAGGGAUACAUCGGAAUCUACUUUUUCGUGGGGGAUAACGUAGGGAAACUUCCGCUCAUACCGCAUACGACCUACGGGUGAAAGCAUGGGCUCUUCGUACCUUGCGCGAUUGAAUGCGACUAUGUCGGAUUCUCUAGUUGGCGGGGUAAACGCCCACCAAGGCGACGAUCCUUAGCUUGUCUUAGAGGAUGAGCAGCCACACUGGAACUGAGACACGGUCCAGACUCCGACGUGAGGCAGCAGUGGUUAAUAUUGGACAAAGGGCGCAAGCCGGAUCCAGCCAUACCGCGUGGGUGAAGAAGGCCUUCGUGUUUUAAAGCCCUUUUGUUUGGAAAGAAAAGCAGCAGGUUAAUACCCCGCUGUUCGGACGGUACCCAAAGAAUAAGCACCGGCUAAGUUCGUG